rnacentral:rRNA from 1 species
AUGGGAAGAAGAGGUCAUGGGCGUGCUCAUCGUGACCAUGAAGAUGAUGGGAUUGGUAAAUUCAAACUUACCAUACCAUCGUUCAAUGGGAAAACCGAGCCCGAUGAGUAUUUGGAGUGGGAGAUGCAUGUGGAUCAGAUUUUUGACAGCCACCGCUAUACGAAGGAGAAGAAGGUACGAUAUGCAUCCAUUGAGUUUACUGGAUAUGCUUUGAUUUGGUGGAACCAAUUUUGUCGUGCUGGAGGUCGUCCGGAGACAUGGGUGCAAAUGAAAAAUCUGUUGCGGAGACGGUUUGUUCCUGAACAUUUCACAAGAACCUUGUACAAUCGACUCCAAUGGUUGUGCCAAGAUAAUUCUAGUGUUGAUGAGUACUAUAAAGAGAUGGAGAUUUUGAUGAUUAGGACAGCGGUGAAUGAGCCAGAGGAGGCCACAAUGUCAAGAUUCUUUCAUGGACUGAAUGAAGAUGUGCAAGAAAGGAUAGAGAUGGUUACAUAUCAAGAUUUGCAAGAACUU